UGGGGAAUAUUGGACAAUGGGCGAAAGCCUGAUCCAGCAAUACCGCGUGUGUGAAGAAGGCCCUCGGGUUGUAAAGCACUUUCAGUAGGGAGGAAAGAAUUAGGGCUAAUACCCCUGAGAGAAGACGUUACCUACAGAAGAAGCACCGGCUAACUCUGUGCCAGCAGCCGCGGUAAUACAGAGGGUGCAAGCGUUAAUCGGAAUUACUGGGCGUAAAGCGCUCGUAGGCGGAUAUUUAAGUCGAUCGUGAAAGCCCUGGGCUUAACCUGGGAACUGCGUUCGAAACUGGAUAUCUAGAGUAUGGUAGAGGAUAGUGGAAUUCCCGGUGUAGCAGUGAAAUGCGUAGAUAUCGGGAGGAACACCAGUGGCGAAGGCGACUAUCUGGACCAAUACUGACGCUGAGGAGCGAAAGCGUGGGGAGCAAACAGGAUUAGAUACCCAGGUAGUCCCUGAGCGGGCUGGCAAGGCGCAU
rnacentral:rRNA from 1 species